rnacentral:rRNA from 1 species
UACAGAGGGUGCGAGCGUUAAUCGGAAUUACUGGGCGUAAAGCGCGCGUAGGCGGCUUUUCAAGUCGAUUGUGAAAUCCCCGGGCUUAACCUGGGAACUGCAGUCGAGACCGUCUAGCUAGAGUAUGGGAGAGGGAAGUGGAAUUUCAGGUGUAGCGGUGAAAUGCGUAGAUAUCUGAAGGAACAUCAGUGGCGAAAGCGACUUCCUGGACCAAUACUGACGCUCAUGUGCGAAAGCGUGGGGAGCAAACAGG